AUUGAAUCAGUGUUUAAAUUGCUUGUGACAACGCGGCGCUCAUCUAGCCAGACGGACUGGGCUCACUGGGGGGGAAAGAUUGAGUGGAAUCCUGAGUUAAUAAAGUGUAAGAAUCCCCAGUUCACACAGGGAGCGAUAAUCGUCUCGUUUACAGGACGGUUGCGCUCCUCUGAGACGUAAGUGCACACGGACUCCGGUGCCUCAUGGCGAACAAAGCGACGGAGCAUAAAAACAACCAGACACCAACUCCCACCGCCUUCUGUCCAAAUCACAGCCAUUCAGUACCCAGCAUGCCCCAGCUCCCGCUCGCUCCCAUGCAGUCCCACAUGCACAAAACAGCCAUCGUUUUAAUGGGCGUCUGAAAUGGCCUGUUGGGAAAUAUGCAGUUUAGAAAAGAGUUGUGAAAUAAUUUAGGACACACACCAAAUAAAAGAUGACAAAUCCUCAAUUAUUUUCCAACUUCACCGAGAUAUCAUUCUUCUAUAUGAGCUGAUUCAAAUUGCCAAGGACCAGGAAACUAUCAUUUUUUUCACAAUGAUUAGUUUAACUCAUUUGCUGUCGGGCAGCAAUCGGGUUCGGUUGAUUCGAAGGUGGAUUGUCCGUUGAUUGUUGUCAGUGUUUAGUCGAGACGAAAGACUUCAGGAGAGCAAACAGCAGGAAAUAAGUGCAGCACAAUGUGUAACUGCUGUGUUCACAAUCCUUUCAGAAGGCCGCUUUGGUUUUCAGAUCUUUGGACACCGCUGGAGAACAUGUGUGGAGAGAAAAUAACCAUUAAAAGAAACAUUCCAAGGUUUUAAAGGUCUUAUUUAACUCGGCCUCCACUGACGCUGCAGGGAGAAAUGGAAAAACCAUUUUAGUUAUCAAUGUUUGGUUCAGUUAAAUAACGGCAACAUGAACAUCCCCCAAUAUUUACCACUAACAAGUAUGUAUGUAUGCACCUUCCAUGCGUACCACGUGAAAGCUUUUGAGACAAAUUGAUCUGGUUACAUAGAACAUACAUCCGCACGCAACAGCAUUCAAAAUUCCUGCUUAAUGGCUCUGCAUUUACAUGAAGCUAUAUGCAUAUAUAUGUUGACAGCUGCGUAAAAGACUUCUGCCUGUGAUUACAGAACUACAUUAACUGAAAAUACCUGCUGGAGCACAUUAUGCACACCUCGAAGUUAUAUGCAGAUGUGCUGCCUUCUAGACCACUUUGCCUCCAGUAGCUGUAUACAUUAAAAGUUUGAAAUUGCUGCGAUGAGUUAUCAGCAAGGCAAUUUCCGAUAAAGACCAAUAUUUUUCUUUCACUACUGAUCACGUAUUUGACAUGGUUGAGAAACACUUAGAGCCACCAUAACACUUCAUUUGCAGACUGGAAUCCUUCUCAUUGUUAAUCACACACAUCAGAGCGGUCACUGGAGCUGUAAAUUUGUCUAAUUGGAAAGUGCCUUCCUUCAUAGCUCCUCCUGGCCUUCUCCCCGUAUGGCACAGCACCAAACAGAACGGCAACUGGGCAACAGGCAACAACAAGGGAAGAAAAAGACAUGGACGGGAUAAAUAAUAUGAACACAGGAGGAGAACAGGGAAGGAAUUGCUGGGCUGAAACCGUGGGCUCAUUCUGACUAAUGAUUCAAUUUUAAGGUCAACAUCUGUAGUUUUUCUCCCUUAAAGUGUCAAACGCCUCUAAAGACUGUGGCAACCUAAAAGGACCCAACAGCCAAGCCGACUGGAGACCCACGAUGGGUCUUUCAGCAGAUUCUGAAGUUUGGUAAAGCUCCAGACGUGUUAUGUGCUGUGUUCUGAAGUGGAAGGUGAAGCGAUCCAGGACUUACUGUGUGACGCCUCGCAGCAGAGCGCUGAUGAUUGGAGCCCCCUUCUUUUUUAACUUGCACAGUUCUUUUCCUUGCUUCCUCACAGCGAGCUGCUCCGUCACUCCCGUUAAUGUGUCGUGUGCGUUCACUGACUCAUUCACCAACCAACAACCCAUAAAGCGCACAAUAAAAGGCUGAAAUUACAGAUCAUUGUCAAAUCUUUCGCUGCCAGGAAAAGACCAACAACUAAAAAUCACACAAUCUGCAGAAUAAAAUGCUUUUUUUUUUAAAUACCUUCUAGUGCUGUUCCCAUAAUUCUAAUUCUGUGGGUGGAAAAGGCCCUGAAGGCUAUAAACUUUUCAAUAUUCCAAUCUUAUUCUACCUCGCCGAUAACUGCCAGAGUUCGUUGAAAGAUAACUAAAAAGUUUCACUCACUGGCAGCCGCCAUCCUAUUGAUGACUGAGUGAAAUCCGGGAGCCAGAUGCAUCGGGUGAAGUGUUCAUCCUGCGUCCACAUACCCCGACGCCCAGGAAAUUUAAAUACCGUGGGUAGUACAAUAUCACCUCGCUUCCCACAAAGCCAGAUGCACACUGCAUGCAAAAUGCACCGUUGGCUUUUCUGGAAUUCAGUAAAAAUGUGAGGAGCAUAAUCAGGCGAGUUCCUAUCGGUUCUCAUCGAAGUUUGCACGGAUUUCUUGGGG
ensembl:lncRNA